GAUGAACGCUGGCGGCGUGCCUAAUACAUGCAAGUCGAGCGAACAGAUAAGGAGCUUGCUCCUUUGACGUUAGCGGCGGACGGGUGAGUAACACGUGGGUAACCUACCUAUAAGACUGGAAUAACUCCGGGAAACCGGGGCUAAUGCCGGAUAACAUUUAGAACCGCAUGGUUCUAAAGUGAAAGAUGGUUUUGCUAUCACUUAUAGAUGGACCCGCGCCGUAUUAGCUAGUUGGUAAGGUAACGGCUUACCAAGGCAACGAUACGUAGCCGACCUGAGAGGGUGAUCGGCCACACUGGAACUGAGACACGGUCCAGACUCCUACGGGAGGCAGCAGUAGGGAAUCUUCCGCAAUGGGCGAAAGCCUGACGGAGCAACGCCGCGUGAGUGAUGAAGGUCUUCGGAUCGUAAAACUCUGUUAUUAGGGAGGAACAAAUGUGUAAGUAACUGUGCACGUCUUGACGGUACCUAAUCAGAAAGCCACGGCUAACUACGUG
rnacentral:rRNA from 1 species